rnacentral:rRNA from 1 species
GAGCAAUCUGCCUCGAAGCCGGGGAUAACCUUCCUAACGGGGGGGCUAAUACCGGAUGUGUUUACCGGGUGGCAUCGCCUGGUGAAUAAAGAUGGCGUGCUGAGCGCUAUCACUUUGAGAUGAGCUCGCGGCCUAUUAGCUUGUUGGUGGGGUAACGGCCCACCAAGGCGACGAUGGGUAGCCGGCCUGAGAGGGUGACCGGCCACAUCGGGACUGAGAUACGGCCCAG